rnacentral:rRNA from 1 species
CCUGCGGCAUGCUUACCAUGCAAGUCGAACGAUGAUGCCCAGCUUGCUGGGUUGAUUAGUGGCGAACGGGUGAGUAACACGUGAGUAACCUGCCCCUGACUCUGGGAUAAGCGUUGGAAACGACGUCUAAUACUGGAUAUGAUCGCCGGCCGCAUGGUCUGGUGGUGGAAAGAUUUUUUGGUUGGGGAUGGACUCGCGGCCUAUCAGCUUGUUGGUGAGGUAAUGGCUCACCAAGGCGACGACGGGUAGCCGGCCUGAGAGGGUGACCGGCCACACUGGGACUGAGACACGGCCCAGACUCCUACGGGAGGCAGCAGUGGGGAAUAUUGCACAAUGGGCGAAAGCCUGAUGCAGCAACGCCGCGUGAGGGAUGACGGCCUUCGGGUUGUAAACCUCUUUUAGUAGGGAAGAAGCGAAAGUGACGGUACCUGCAGAAAAAGCACCGGCUAACUACGUGCCAGCAGCCGCGGUAAUACGUAGGGUGCAAGCGUUGUCCGGAAUUAUUGGGCGUAAAGAGCUCGUAGGCGGUUUGUCGCGUCUGCUGUGAAAUCCCGAGGCUCAACCUCGGGCUUGCAGUGGGUACGGGCAGACUAGAGUGCGGUAGGGGAGAUUGGAAUUCCUGGUGUAGCGGUGGAAUGCGCAGAUAUCAGGAGGAACACAGAUGGCGAUGGCACAUCUCUGUGCCGUAACUGACGCUGAAGACCAAAAGCAUAGGGGAGCUCAAACGGAUUAGAUCCCGCGGGGAGGGCAUGUCAACAACGGUGGGGCGGCUUAGAUUAGGGCACCUUCCACUCCCGUC